CAACAGCUCGCGUCCCUUCAAUUUGCUUUACGCUGGCAGCGCCGAGCAAUGCCGGCGGCUCAUUGAAAUUCAUAAAAUAUUUGCACAGCGAAAUGGGCCACGAUGAGUACAGGCUACAGGCACUGUAUUAUGUGUCAAGCACGUUUGAAUUUAAAUUCAAAUAUUUGCCAUAGAAGGCAAACAAAUAAGCAGAAAUAUGGUAAACAGCAAUAAGCGACAAAGGCAAUGGCAGCAUCAACAGCAAUGGCAAUCGAAAUGGCAAAUGCGAACAGAAGAAAUAAUGCGACAGCAUGCAGUAAGCCAACUGCAUAUGGCCAGAUACAAUACACUAGGAAUAUCGGAGAAUACCCAUAAAUGCGACUUCUCUCGGAUCGAAAUGACAAAUGGCCAGUUCCAUUGAUGGAUGGCUAUGUCAGUCAGAGGCCACAAGUGAAGAACCGACAACUGGCAAUGGCUAACACGGCUAAUCCUGUCUGCGUAAAUUGUGAUACUUGUACUGCAUAAUAAGUUGACCGCCAGUACAGACAAAGACCAGGCCAUGGCCAAGGUUCACAUUUAGGAAAGUAGACACAAAACAAGGCACAAGUUUUGUACUCGACAAUUACAGUUUCCAAGGCUAAGCAAGAGUCAAGUGCGACCGACUAAGUGAUACCCUAAACAUGAGAGAUUUGCUAAAAGAAAUAUCAUCGAUAUACUUGUUUAACAAAAAAUAUUUCAAAUUUCUUAAAAUUUCCAAGGCUGAUGUGUUCAUUCAGAUGGACAGCACGUCAUGACUAGAAAAGAGAAAUGAACAUAUAUUUUUGCUUGAUCAGCAUCAACAGCCGAGUUCAUAUAGCCUAGUCUGCACUUACGUCUGUUUCAAUAUAAAAUUGUUCGUCAAUUUUAAAGGCAACAUUAUGAAACUGUGCAAACGUUCGCCUCUUCUUGUAAGAAAAUCAUUUGUGGUUCUCAAGAUAUCUUGCCUAACAGCGAUGUUUUUCGUUUGACUAUGUUCGUAUAUAAAAACCUUUUUUGCUUUCCAAGAUAUGUUAAUUAAGCUUGGUAUUUGGAGUUAUUAUAGAGAAAACAGUUCUUAAACAAA